AUUGAACGCUGGCGGAAUGCUUUACACAUGCAAGUCGAACGGCAGCACGGACUUCGGUCUGGUGGCGAGUGGCGAACGGGUGAGUAAUGCAUCGGAACGUGCCCAAUCGUGGGGGAUAACGUAGCGAAAGUUACGCUAAUACCGCAUACGAUCUAAGGAUGAAAGCGGGGGAUCGCAAGACCUCGCGCGAAUGGAGCGGCCGAUGUUAGAUUAGGUAGUUGGUGGGGUAAAGGCUCACCAAGCCGACGAU
rnacentral:rRNA from 1 species